GGUUCGGUAGUUCAGUUGGUGGAACGUGUGCUUAACACUUCGCAGUGUCCGCACAAGGUCGUCGGUUCAAGCCCGGCCCGGAUCA
rfam:Sphaerobolus stellatus SS14 unplaced genomic scaffold SPHSTscaffold_2, whole genome shotgun sequence.